rnacentral:RNase_P_RNA from 2 species
UGGGUUGUUCGGGUGAUCGCGGCUCUGAUAUCCAGAGCUGAGGAAAGUCCGCACUCCAUAGAGCACGGUGCCGGGUAAUCCCCGGGAUGGGGUAACCUGUCGGAUCGGGCCACAGAAACAAACCGCCGAAGCGUCGCUCAGCGAUGCCGGUAAGGGUGAAAAGGUGCCAAUGGCAGCGGUUUGAUCCAAACCGCCUGACGUGGUUUUGUGUAAGAGACCACCGGCGUGCGCAGCAAUGCACACGGCCAGGCAACCCCCGCCGGGAGCAAGGCCAAGCAGGGACAAAGCACAAUUUUGUGCGGGAAGCUGCUCGUUUCCUGGCUCUUUAAUGAGCCGAAGUCCUGGGUAGGCUGCAUGAGAGGCACGGAGACGCGCCUCCUAGAGAGAUGAUCGCCCAGCUUCUCCUGGGAGUCGAUCCCAUGAGGAGUGGACAGAAUGCGGCUUACAGAGCAACCCGGGGG